GGCUGGUGCUGGGCAGGCGCGGAAGGGGCAGACUGCUGUCACCGGGGAGCGGGCGUGGGCCAGAGCCGAGGUGAUUUCUCACUAGUCCUCGCCCGGCCCCGCGUGGCUGAAGGUCUCCGAAUCCCUCGGUCAGCCCCGGCCAGCCAGGAGCACAGCUGUCGCGGGAAAGGCAGCUAAACGUGGCCCCGGCGCUGUUUUGACAGGCCGCGGAGAAAGAGAAAGGGGCUCACUGCGGCGAGCAGUCGCAUCCAACCCCGGGCUAGGAAACCCCGAGAGCAAACCCCAGCCCCGGCGCAAACCGUGGACCGCGGAGCCACCGACUCGGCCCAGCCCAACAGGGGACCGCCCAGGGGCCACUCCCCAAGGGAGGCAGCCAGUCACUCGCUCGCCCAGUCGGGCCCGCACCCGAGGGGACGGGCUCCCGCCCGCCCUCAACACAGCUCCUCACGCCAGGCCCCCAGGGCUUCGGCCACCUCUCACCUUUGACGACGCGGGCCAUGUGCUAAAACAAACAGAAACCUCUCUCUCCUGUCCUCCUGACUCCAGAUUGGGGGGCAUAACUGCUUUGCCUCCAGUCGUCAUCUGGGGGAAUAUCUACUCUUCGAGGACCAGAUGUUCGUGACACUGGAACAGAGGCUGCGUUCCAAGCUGCCCUCGGGGGUAAAUGAAGACUGCUGGAUGGUGGGGACACAGGGUGAACAAUGGAAGAGUGGUGGGGUGAAUGGAAAAGAUCUCCCCAGGAUUGAGAAUGAGGAACCUGGAAGCUCUGGCAUCUCUCUGCUAGUGUGGCAGUGUGGGUUAGCUGAGGCUUGCAUCCUGGGGUACUUGGGAGUCUGGCCCUAAUGUGCUGGUUGGGCUCUGACCAGGGUCCCAAGGAGGCAUCAGUUCUAGAACGAUGGGGGAGACUCCGAUAGGUUAAAGUCCUUCCUGUGUACUUGACCCCUUGGGAAGUUUCACUCCUGUCACACAUAGCCAGAAACUGCUGGACAUUCCUCGAACUUCCUGAGGAAAGAAAAGAAACCCAGAGACUGAGUAUCUUCAUAAAAUAAUUCUCCUUCCACAGAUCAUUCCUGACUGUUCUACCCAAUUCAUUAUUCCAGCAAAAGCAUACAUACAAUACCUAGUUUUGCUUUUAAUUUUAUUUUUUAAAAUUCUUAAUUAUAUCAAAAGAAAGUCUCUUACUGUCAACUUAGACAAAUUACACAGUCUCCUAAAUGUUGUCAUACUUACCUUGCUCCAUUAUAAUUCCUGUUAACACACACACGGCCCCCAAAAUAGCAGAUAUACUAAUGUUGCAAUAACUAAUUCUUGAGCAACUACUCUAGUCUCACUUAGCUUUUCUUUUUUUUUUUCGGUCUUUUUCCUUCCAGGGAUCGAACUCACAACUGCCUGCUUGCAAGGCAGGUGCUUAUGCCACUGAGCUAAAUCCCCAGCCCCUACUUAGCUUUUCUUAACGUGGCGGUACCUUUAGUAAGGCUGCCUGUGCUAACUUUCCUGCUCAAUCUUUUGUUCAUACCACUCUUCCUAAAUAUACAAUAUAGAAUGCCUUUUCUAUGAAUUUAUUCAAUAUUGACACUAUUGAUAUCAUUGCUGUUAUGGAUUAAAAACUGAUAGUCAACUUAACAACAGCUGAAUUAAAUCAGCAUGGUGCUAAGCGUAGAUGUUCCACCUGAGGAAAGUUGCCAGCAUAAAUACAGACAUGGAGAAAGAGAAGCUAGGUGUUGCUGUUUGAGCCGUUGGUUCUUCUGGAGGAGCUUGUCAUGACUAGCUUCCCCAGUGAGAGUUUGACCAUUGUCAACAGAGGAGCUCAGGACCUUGUUGGUGAGAGUGGCUAUGGUUCACUUUGGGGGGGCACUGGUCCUUACAAUGAGCAUCACUUCCUGGCUCCAGAAGGGAAGACAUGCCAUUUAAUCUUCAGGAGAAACUCCUCAUGCUGGCGUUUCUAUCAUUGGAGGAGCUUGGGACCUCCGUGUCGCUGAGGAUGGCUGUGGUGCUUUUCAGAACAGCCCUGGUCUUUAUUAUGAGUGUGACUUCUUGGCUCCAGUGUAGAACCCUCAACCUACCAGCACAGCUCCUUCAUCCUACUGGCAUAGACUUUCCAGCUUCCAUCGCUGAUCUUUGAGCCUUCCCAGCGGAGAUCCGUAAAACAUACUGGCGUGAGUCCUUCUUGUGGGCUGUAGCCCUCCAGUUGGACUCAUCGGAGGCAUUGUUAUGGGCUGUAGGUUUUCAUCUGGACUCAUGCAGGCCAUUGCUGUGGGAUCCAGGCCCUUGGAUGAAUAUUCUGAGUCUUUAGCAUCGUGGACAGAUUUUCUGUACUUUCUUGUGUUAAACUCUGGGUGACUAUCAUAAAAUUAUAAAUUCUGUGUCCU